rnacentral:rRNA from 1 species
UACGUAGGGGGCUAGCGUUAUCCGGAAUUACUGGGUGUAAAGGGAGCGUAGGCGGCAUGGUAAGUAAGGUGUGAAAGCCUUGGGCUUAACCCGAGGAUUGCACUUUAAACUAUCAAGCUAGAGUACAGGAGAGGUAAGUGGAAUUCCUAGUGUAGCGGUGAAAUGCGUAGAUAUUAGGAGGAACACCAGUUGCGAAGGCGGCUCUCUGGACUGUAACUGACACUGAGGCACGAAAGCGUGGGGAGCAAACAGGAUUAGAUACCCUGGUAGUCCCUGA